AGGGGCGUAGCUCAAAUGGUAGAGCGCUUGCUUAGCAUGCGAGAGGUACCAGAAUCGAUAACUGGCGCCUCCA